UCAUGAGCGGAGGAAAAGAAACCAACAGGGAUUGCCCUAGUAACGGCGAGUGAAGCGGCAACAGCUCAAAUUUGAAAUCUGGCUCUUUUAGAGUCCGAGUUGUAAUUUGCAGAGGGCGCUUUGGCUUUGGCAGCGGUCCAAGUUCCUUGGAACAGGACGUCACAGAGGGUGAGAAUCCCGUACGUGGUCGCUAGCUAUUGCCGUGUAAAGCCCCUUCGACGAGUCGAGUUGUUUGGGAAUGCAGCUCUAAAUGGGAGGUAAAUUUCUUCUAAAGCUAAAUAUUGGCCAGAGACCGAUAGCGCACAAGUAGAGUGAUCGAAAGAUGAAAAGCACUUUGGAAAGAGAGUCAAACAGCACGUGAAAUUGUUGAAAGGGAAGCGCUUGCAGCCAGACUUGCUUGCAGUUGCUCAUCCGGGCUUUUGCCCGGUGCACUCUUCUGCAGGCAGGCCAGCAUCAGUUUGGGCGGUGGGAUAAAGGUCUCUGACACGUUCCUUCCUUCGGGUUGGCCAUAUAGGGGAGACGUCAUACCACCAGCCUGGACUGAGGUCCGCGCAUCUGCUAGGAUGCUGGCGUAAUGGCUGUAAGCGGCCCGUCUUGAAACACGGACCAAGGAGUCUAACAUCUAUGCGAGUGUUUGGGUGUCAAGCCCGAGCGCGUAAUGAAAGUGAACGGAGGUGGGAACCCGCAAGGGUGCACCAUCGACCGAUCCUGAAGUUUACGGAAGGAUUUGAGUAAGAGCAUGGCUGUUGGGACCCGAAAGAUGGUGAACUAUGCUUGAAUAGGGUGAAGCCAGAGGAAACUCUGGUGGAGGCUCGCAGCGGUUCUGACGUGCAAAUCGAUCGUCAAAUUUGGGCAUAGGGGCGAAAGACUAAUCGAACUAUCUAGUAGCUGGUUCCUGCC
rnacentral:rRNA from 1 species